rnacentral:rRNA from 1 species
GAUGAACGCUGGCGGCGUGCCUAAUACAUGCAAGUCGAGCGAACAGACGAGGAGCUUGCUCCUCUGACGUUGGCGGCGGACGGGUGAGUAACACGUGGAUAACCUACCUAUAAGACUGGGAUAACUUCGGGAAACCGGAGCUAAUACCGGAUAAUAUAUUGAACCGCAUGGUUCAAUAGUGAAAGACGGUUUUGCUGUCACUUAUAGAUGGAUCCGCGCCGCAUUAGCUAGUUGGUAAGGUAACGGCUUACCAAGGCAACGAUGCGUAGCCGACCUGAGAGGGUGAUCGGCCACACUGGAACUGAGACACGGUCCAGACUCCUACGGGAGGCAGCAGUAGGGAAUCUUCCGCAAUGGGCGAAAGCCUGACGGAGCAACGUCGCGUGAGUGAUGAAGGUCUUCGGAUCGUAAAACUCUGUUAUUAGGGAAGAACAAAUGUGUAAGUAACUAUGCACGUCUUGACGGUACCUAAUCAGAAAGCCACGGCUAACUACGUG